rnacentral:lncRNA from 1 species
GCCGUGCGCAGCCGGAAGAUGGCGCAGACGCACAAAGCACACCGAUGCUGCGCCAUGAUAGGGCCGGCGCCGCAGUGUCUUCCGGGAAACAUAGUCUUUAGGCGUAAAGGCAGCAGCCCGGCCUUGAAGCCGGAUCUCGCGAUGUUUCAGGGUGAGCCGGACGCAGGCGUGCCUGCGCAGUGCGCGGAGGAGUGCUGUUCGUGUGUUCGAGUCCCUGGGUUGCUUCCUGGGGUCUGUGGUGCUGGGUGUGCUAUCUGCGUGUGAUUCUCUAGCGAGAGAUUGUGGGCGAGUGACCGAGUGGGCAAGGGGCCGUCACUGUGUGUGCGUGAUUUUGACAGUGUGUGGUGGUAGCUUCUGACUCCGCGUGGGUCGUUGAAUGUAUGACUGGGACCGUUUAGCGGUGGAUACACAACUGUGUGCGGCUGUGGAAGAUUGCCUCAUCCGUUACGUUCCCAUUUCCGUGGAACAACAGUUUUACCAGAAGGUUUCGAAGGAACCUUAAAGUUUGGAAGCGUAAGAGUUUAUCUGGCGGCUUUGGUGUCAUCAAAUGUGAGAAGCCCUGGACUUUACACAUCCCGAGCCAGUGUGAUCCAGUAUGAUUGGGAGUCCGAGUGCCAGAUGCCGGUCAGGACCUGUUAUGCUGGGUCUCAGAAUGCGGAAACUCUCCCUGUCCGAGGUGGAACAGUUUGUCCUUGAGUGAGGACUGGAGUCCUGAGUGACUCUUUUGAUUUGAUCCUGUUUCCCUCAAACCUGGUGAGCUCUAUGGUGUAAUAAAUGGUUAAGAGUGUGAACCCUUAACCAUCUCUAAGACUGGAGCCAGAAUGCCUGAACUCCAGUCUUAGAGAUGUGCCUCGGUCUCCACAUUUGAAAGUGAGGAUGAUUGUGGCAUCUAAUUCAUUGAGUUGUUGGGGAGGAGUAACUGAUAUGUAAAAUAAUGCUACUGCUGCUGGAUAAGGAUGCUAAUAUGACUGAAGCUAAUGCUUUCUUUCUGCAAAGAUGCUUUUUCCAAAACACACCAUAUUGCCUCUUUACACAUUCUUCAGGAGAGGGUAGAGGCUGCAUUUUCCUUGUAGGUGCGGUGAUGUGGUGGAAAGCACACUUUUAGAAUUAGACAGAUGUGGAUUCAAAUAGCAUUUCAGCCAUUUAUUAGUUUCUUCGUGCCUAUCUCGGUUUUGUUUUGUUUUUUUUUUUUUGUCCAUAAAAGGAAGAAUGUAAUGCUGGGCUUGCAGCUUUGUCCUGAGGGUCAAAUAAAAUGAUUUAAUAAUAUAAGCAAAGCUCAGAGGUUGGUUAUUGCUGAUUACUGAUAUUAAAAGACAACUUCAGCAAGGAUGGUUGAAUUUCACACUUGUGAGCGGACAGUUGAGGAGACAGUUGUAGAUUUAUCCUACUUGACCUUAUUUGUGGUUCAAGACAGUGUUGCGAGUUCAAGAGGAGAGGGUAGAUGCAAAAAGUCAUCAUCUUUCCUAUGUUCUCUGAUCUUGGGAAGGGGCGAGUGGCUCUAGUUUCCCUUUAACAUCCCACUGUGUUGAGUGUGUCUAUAUGUACAUGCGUCAGUAUUUGCUUAUGGAGGAAAGGAAGGAAAAAGACCAAACAGGUACAAAGCCAGCCAUCUCUCAGGCUAACUUUCUUCUAUACCAUUUUUACUUUCUCACAUUCAUUAAUCUGCCAAAGAGAAAUUUAGAGGAUGAUGAAAUGGCCACUUCUGACUCUGAACCAAGCCUCUGAAGUCAUACACCAUUAUACUCUUGGUCACAAAAUCAGCUGUGAGUCUAAGUAGGUGGAGGCUACACAAGAGUAUAAGUACUAGGAGGCAGGGAUCAUUCAGGGUCGUCUUAGAGGGUGGCUUCCAGUUUCUUCCUUUUAAGAGUAUGAGAAUGCUCUGAGCUAGCCUCUCCAUUCCAUGGAAUCCAUAGGUCUUUUGUCAGCCACUUCCCAGUACACAUUCCUGUGCCAAAGCACAUGCAGAGUUUGUAGGGUCCAGCCCCACAGGGUCGGUUGGUUUCUCCCCGUGUGCGGAGACGAGAGAUUGUAGAAAUAAAGACGCAAGACAGAGAUAAAAGAAAAGACAGCUGGGCCCAGGGGACCACUACCACCAAGACGCGGAGACUGGUAGUGGCCCCGAAUGCCAGGCUGCGCUGAUAUUUAUUGGAUACAAGACAAAGGGGCAGGAUAAGGAGUGUGAGCCAUCUCCAAUGAUAGGUAAGGCCACAUGGGUCACAUGUCCACUGGACAGGGGGCCCUUUCCUGCCUGGCAGCCGAGGCAGAGAGAGAGAGGAGAAAGAGAGAGAGAGCUUACACCAUUAUUUCUACUUAUUAGAGACUUAGUACUUUCACUGGUUUGCUACUGCUAACUAAACGGCAGAGCCAGGUGUACAGGAUGGAACAUGAAGGUGGACUAGGAGCGUGACCACUGAAGCACAGCAUCACAGGGAGACGGUUAGGCCUCCGGAUAACUGCAGGUGGGCCUGAGGCCCUCCACAAGUGGUGGAGGAGUAGAGUCUUCUCUAAACUCCCCCGGGGAAAGGGAGACUCCCUUUCCCGGUCCGCUACGUAGCAGGUGUUUUUCCUUGACACUAACACUACUGCUAGACCACGGUCCGCUUGGCAACGGGCAUCUUCCCAGAUGCUGGCAUCACCGCUAGACCAAGGAGCCCUCUGGUGGCCCUGUCUGGGCAUAACAGAAGGCUCGCACUCUUGUCUUCUGGUCACUUCUCACUAUGUCUCCUCAGCUCCUAUCUCUAUAUGGCCUGGCUUUUCCCAGGUUAUGAUUAUAGAGUGAGGAUUAUUAUAAUUUGGAAUAAAGAGUAAUUGCUACCAACUAAUGAUUAAUGAUAUUCAUAUAUAAUCAUAUCUAAGAUCUAUAUCUGGUAUAACUAUUCUUGUUUUAUAUUUUAUUAUACUGGAACAGCUCGUGUCCUCGGUCUCUUGCCUUGGCACCUGGGUGGCUUGCCGCCCACAGAGUUACUCCAGCAGCUCCCUCUCCUGUUAUCCCCAGCCAUAUCCGUGCUUCUGCCAGAUUCCUUCUGUUUCAGGAUCACCCAUUAUCACUUGAAUGAGAUCAACUGUGGGGAGGUGGGCCAUAUUCUGUUGUGCAUAGUAAUCCAAGCAAGGAAUCACACAACAAAGUGGGUUCUAACCCAAUCUUAGCUACUUACUCCCUGAGUGACCUUGGGCACCUCCCCCAAUUUUUCUGACCUAAAAUCUGUGCAUUAUAAUAAUAAUAAAUUUCCACGGAGGAAGUAUAACCUUUUCAACAAACAGUGCUGGAGCAACUGGACAUCCAUAGCCAAAAAAGAAAAAGGAUAAAAGGCUUUUCUGCAGUACUAAUCCAGGAGAAAAAUAAAUGUAUUGCAUCUUCCUUGUGACAACUGAGGACAAAAUACAUGUGGCCUCUCUCUGAGGACUUUUUUUUUUAAGAGACAAGGUCUCACUCUGUCACCCAAGCUGGUGUGCAGUGGUGUUCCUGGACUGAACUGAAGGUCAGGCUGCUUAUUCUCGCAGCCCUAUAACAAGAUGCUGAUGAACUGUGAAAGAAGAGAGUUUUAUUUCUGUAACCGGGUACAGGGAGAGGGCCAGAAAAAUAUUGCCAGACCAACUCAAAAUUACAAAGUUUUCCAGUGCUUAUCUACCUUCUAAGCUAUAUGUCUACAUGUUAGUGUGCAUUCAUCUAAAGACACAAGUGAUUAAUUUCUUCUAAUCUAUAACUAAGGUCUGAGUUAUAGACCUUGGGGACAUUCCUCUGGAGCCUCAGUGAUUUUACUUACUCUAGAUGGGUCCAAGUGCCAAAGGUAAUUACCUUAUCUUGUCUCCUACUAAGUUAUGGAGGUCUGGAGAGUUCCUUUAGACCCCCAAUAAAACUUGUUUAAUCCUAAAUGGAUCCUGGUAUGAGGAGUGUGACCAUUCCUUCAUUAUUUUGUCAUGCUUCAAAUCAUCAGCCUUUGUGUUAGGGCGCUGGCUCUCUCAGCCUUUAAUAUUUAACCUAACCAUUUAGUCAAUGCUAGAACAGUUCUUAUGGAGGCCUGCCUGUUCAGUUUUUGUGAGAUCUGGCUUGCCACAGUGGCACAAACGGCUUACUGCAGCCUCAACUUCCUGGGCUUAAGCGAUCCUCCUACCUCAGCCUCCCAAGUAGCUGAGAACACAGGUGCGUACCACCACACCAGCUAAUUUUUCUUUUCUUUUUUUUUUUCUGUAGAGAUGGGAGCCUCACUGUAUUGCCCAGGCUGGUCUUGAACUCCGGAGCUCAAGUGAUCGUCUUGCUUCAGCCUUGCAAAAUGAUGGUGAAGCUGCAUCAUUGUCUGGGGUAAAUACCUGAGGUUCGUUGUCUCACGCCAAGGGAAUCAAGGACGUGGACACACAAGAAGUGAGUUUAAGAGCGGAGGUUUAAUAGGCGAAAGAGAAAAGAGAAUAGCUCUAGCUCCUGCAGAGAGAAAAGGGCUCCCAAGUAGGACUUCCAGUCCGUGGCGAAGGGCACGGGGUUUAUAGACUGGCUUCAGGAGGUGGUGUCUGAUUUACGUAGGCCCCAAAGAUUGGUUGGACCAGGUGUGCCAAUCAGAAGCUGGCUGCCCCACCCUAAUCUUUUAUUAUGCAGAUGGAGUCCCUGUCUGACCGGGCCAUGUUGUAUGUUCCUUGCUGUACACGUGGUUGACAAAGAAAAGGGAAGAUGGAGCUGCGAUGUUGGACAUGCCUGGCCCCCAGGACAUACAGCCCUGCCGAGCAAAUAAUGAACGUAACUCACAAACUUCCUGCUUAUCAUCAAACGCACGCAUCCACUUAUCAUCAAACACCUCGGGUGACAGAAGAAUGCAGGUCAGCUCCCUGCUGCCUUGGCAUUAUCAAUCAGCCCAGGAACCAUCCUAUAAAAUCUCCAGCAAGCCUUUGUUUCCUUGCAGUCAGCUCCUCUUCCACUGAUUCUGCCUGUUGCUCCCUGAUAACAUACUUUGAUACUGUCUUUAAUAAAUCUGCCUUUCUUCACCCACAGCUGUCUUGGUAAGUUCUUUUACCUCUGUGCCACCAGCCCAAACAGUUGCUGCUCACCUGAAACAAAGAAUAAAUGUGGUUUUUAAGCAAAUCAAAGUUUACUUAGUGACUCUUACCAAGCUUUGUAGAAGGUUGUGCCAAAAGGAGAAGCUUAAGAGAUAACGGCUAAAAAUAAAAAAUGUUACCACCGCCCAAGGGGUUCUUCCUGCCCACUGCAUAAAGAAAGACCAUGGCAUUGUAGUAGAGAAAGAGGUUAAUAGACAUGAGGCUGGCCACGCCACAUGGGAAAUGGAGUUCGUACUCAAAUCAUCUAAUCCAAAGCUCUUAUCUUAGAGGUUUUUCAAAGUCACUUUGGGGGAAGGGGUGGGAGUGGCCAGAUAACAGGUGCUUGCUGCUGAUUCGUUGGGCUGGAGAUGAAAUCAUAGGGGGUCAAAGCUCUCCUUGUGUGGGGUGAAUUGCUUCUGGGUGGUGCCACAGGAACUGGGUUGGUUAGUCCAAGUGGAACCAUCAGGUCCAGGUGGAGCCAUGGGUGUCAGACAUGAAAAAACCUGAAAAGAUAUCUCAAAAGGCCAAUCUGAGGUUCUACAGUAGUGAUGUCAUUUGUAGUAGUAAUUGGGAAAGUUGCAUAUCCUAUAACCUUUGGAAUAAUGGCUGACAGUUGAAUAAUGCUGCCACCUUAGCAGGACCCAGACUCCUCUCCUCCCAGACUGAUGGCCUCCCAUUAGCUUUACAAAAACAAUUGAGUUUUGGGCAAAGCCUGUUAUUUAAACUAUAGCGUAAAUGUCUUCCAAAGUUAGCUCAGCCCUAUAGCCCAGGAAUAAUUAAGGGAAAGGCAAGAUAGGUGGGUUAGCUCAGUUUACUAUAAUAAUUUUUCUCACUGAUACAGUUUUUGCAAAGGUGGUUUCAUAAAGAUGCCUACUCUCUUCACACAUUUGUGAAAUGUCGAAAAGACUGCAAAAACCUGGACGUUUACUGAUGCCUUAUUUUAAACAAGGCUUGUCUGGUUUGAAAAAGUGAGGGGAAGCUAUCAAUCAUAAUUUUGUUAAAUACAGUGAGUUCUAAGUUUCUCCUCAAAGAAUCUGUGUCAGUAUGUUCAGUUCUUUGUUUUCCAUUUUAAAGUUUAACUUCCUCAUUCUCUUCAUCUCCUUGCCCCUAGUUUCAGUAAACAACCUCCCUGCCAGUUCUGAUCAGUAGUUCACAUCUGUUCUCCUGGUCACUUGCUCCAUCCUGAGACCCCUGGUCACCCGCUCUAACCUAAGUCACCUUUAGUCACCUAUUCCGUAACCGUCUUUCCUGCCACAACUGCUCACCCCACCACUGUAGCUCUUAACCCCUGCUGUCUUUAAAAUAGCCAAUCGGAAUUAGCUUAGACUGUGCAGUCCAACCCUAGCCAAUAGGGGAACGAUGCAACAGUAGGGGCUACCUGUGUCAGGGAUAAGAACCCCUUCCCCUCCCUUGUUCAGGUGUGCUCUCACCAUUGUUCCAUCCACAAGAUGCACCCUUCUGUAGAAGUAAAAUUGCCUUGCUGAGAAAAUUUCUGUUCGAAUGCUAUUUCUUUUGUGGCACCGAAAAUUUAUUUCUAACAAUUUCAACACUCAAACACAACCCAACUACAAUUUUUGUGGAUUAUGUUCCUUUUACUUUUUAGGAACAGUUUUCCAAUGUUGCAGUCAUAAUGCAAUUUUAUCAGCUUUGUUCCUCCUUUAAGAAACCUUAAUACAAGAAGUAUUUUUACAUGUUGCUUCAUUGCCAUGCAAUUAUUCGUUUAAAAAGUUGUAUAGUUUUCAAUCAGAUAGAUGUGAAAGGAAAAUAAAUCCCAGGACUCCGGUUGGGCACAGUGGCUCAUGCCUGUGAUUCCAGCACUUUGGGAGGCCGAGGCGGGUGGAUCACGAGGUCAGGAGAUCGAGACCAGCCUGGCCAACAUGGUAAACCCCGUCUCUACUAAAGAUUAAAAAAAAAAAAUUAAGUGGGUGUGGUGGUGUGCACCUGUAAUACCAGCUACUCUACUCGGGAGGCUGAGGCAGGAGAAUAGCUUGAACCCGGGAGGCGGAGGCUGCAGUGAGCAGAGAUCACACCAUUGCACUCCAGCCUGGGCAACAGGGCGAGACUCUGUCUCAAAAAAAAAAAAAAAAUCUAAGGACUCCAAAAUCACUAAGCCAAGGGAAAGUCAAGCUGGGAACUAUGUCAGGCAAGGCUGCCUCUCAUUUGAUUCCUAAAUACAAUAGCUAUAAAGAUUAAAAGCUACAUACCUCCCUCACAAUUUGCCCACAAGGAAAUUCCUUUUGGACAAAGGACAGAAAGAAUUCAAAGUCAUCCCUCUGAGGCUCACCUGAGAGAAAUGCAUAUCUGAUUGCUUCCUUGGACCUAGUGUUUAUGUAAAAAUGCAAAUUCACAGAGCCAGACUAAAUUGUGUAUUCAGUGGAAAGCUAAUCAAUAACUCAAAAGAAUGCAACCUUUUGUCCCACAUCUAUUUAUGACCUGGAAGCCUCCACCUCAGAUUUUUCCACCUUACCUGACUGAACCACUGUACAUCUUACACAUAGUGAUUGAUGUCUCAUAUCUCCCUAAGAUGUAUAAAAGCAAGCUGUACCCCAACCACCUUGGGCACAUGUCAUCAGAACGUCCUGAGACUGUCAGUGCUUCCCUAACCAUGGGAAAAUAAACUUUCCAAAUCGAUUGAGACCUGUCUCCAAUACCUUUUGGUUUACAACAUACUGUUAUUUAUUUGACCAUUCUUCUACUUGUAGCUGUGGAGUCCUGAUAAGUAAGCAACAAUGAGGAAGGGGCCCCAGUGGGGAAGUACAAUGAACAGUUGUCCUGAGAAAUGGCUAAUCAAACAACAGCUCUCUCCAGGAUGACCCUAUAAAACUUCCUUCCAGCUCCUGCCUCUUUGCAGACAGCUCCUUCUCUCCUGUGCUGCCAGUUGCAACCUUGCAAUGUAUUUUCAUACGUUCUCUAAUAAAUCUGCCUUUCUUUAGGACUGUCCUGGUAAAUAUGAGACUGUUUUCUUUACCGCCUUUGAUACAAGCCCUAUCUAGUUGCUACCCAUGACAGUAGGUAUAUUGUUUAUGUUCAACAUUUUAUUAUAAACAAUGUUUCAGCUGGGCUCGGUGGCUCAUGCCUGUAAUCCCAGCACUUUGGGAGGCUGAGGCAGACAGAUCAGGAGGUCAGGAGAUUGAGACCAUCCUGGCUAACAGGUGAAACCCCGUCUCUACUAAAAAUACAAAAAAAUUAGCCAGGCGUGGUGGCACGUGCCUGUAGUCCCAGCUACUCGGGAGGCUGAGGCAGGAGAAUGGCAUGAACCUGGGAGGUGGAGCUUGCAGUGAGCUGAGAUUGCGCCACUGCACUCCAGCCUGGGUGACAGAGCAAGACUCCGUCUCAAAAAAAAGUUUCAGUUAGUAUUUUUUGCUGAUAUCAUAGUUGCGUUUGUUUAAU